UACGGGGGAUGCAAGCGUUAUCCGGAAUCAUUGGGCGUAAAGCGCCUGUAGGUUGUUUAAUAAGUCCGUUGUUAAAGACUAGGGCUCAACCCUAGAGCAGCAAUGGAAACUACUAGACUAGAGUAUGGCAGGGGUAGAGGGAAUUUCUAGUGUAGCGGUGAAAUGCGUAGAUAUUAGAAAGAACACCAGCGGCGAAAGCGCUCUACUGGACCAUUACUGACACUCAGAGGCGAAAGCUAGGGUAGCAAAAGAGAUUAGAUACCCCUGUAGUCCUAGCCGUAAACGAUGGAUACUACAUGUUGUAUUUAUUUUACAGUAUGGUAGCUAACGCGUUAAGUAUCCCGCCUGGGGAGUACGCUCGCAAGGGUG
rnacentral:rRNA from 1 species